rnacentral:rRNA from 1 species
CCUCGGGCUGCUGCAGUGAGGAAUAUUGCACAAUGGGGGGAACCCUGAUGCAGCAACGCCGCGUGGAGGAUGACGCAUUUCGGUGUGUAAACUCCUUUUAUAUGUCAAGAAAAUGACGGUAGCAUAUGAAUAAGCACCGGCUAACUCCGUGCCAGCAGCCGCGGUAAUACGGAGGGUGCAAGCGUUACUCGGAAUCACUGGGCGUAAAGGACGCGUAGGCGGGUUGGAAAGUCAGGUGUGAAAUCCUACAGCUUAACUGUAGAACUGCACUUGAAACUUCUAAUCUAGAGUAUGGGAGGGGGAGAUGGAAUUAGUGGUGUAGGGGUAAAAUCCGUAGAUAUCACUAGGAAUACCUAAAGCGAAGGCGAUCUCCUGGAACAUUACUGACGCUAAGGCGUGAAAGCGUGGGGAGCAAACAGGAUUAGAUACCCUCGUAGUC